rnacentral:rRNA from 1 species
GGUAACUGGGGUGAAGUCGUAACAAGGUAGCUGUACUGGAAGGUGCUGCUGGAUCACAU